rnacentral:misc_RNA from 1 species
UUGAUUCAUUUAGUUUUUGAUUCAGAAGACACGUUUAUAAUGAGUUUGAGAAAACUUCUGCCGGUCGAAACCGGCAAAGAAACAGGUUUAGUUAAAACAUAGGGUUGAAGUUUGGGCACUGGGUACCCGAAACCUUUAAUGAUCCUUCCGCAGGUUCACCUACGGAAA